AACGAACGCUGGCGGCAUGCCUAACACAUGCCAGUCGAACGAGACCUUCGGGUCUAGUGGCGCACGGGUGCGUAACGCGUGGGAACCUGCCCUUAGGUUCGGAAUAACUCCCCGAAAGGGGUGCUAAUACCGGAUAAUGUCUUCGGACCAAAGAUUUAUCGCCUUUGGAUGGGCCCGCGUUGGAUUAGCUAGUUGGUAGAGUAAAAGCCUACCAAGGCGACGAUCCAUAGCUGGUCUGAGAGGAUGAGCAGCCACACUGGGACUGAGACACGGCCAAGACUACUACGGGAGGCAGCAGUAGGGAAUAUAAGACAAUGGACGAGAGCCUGAUCCAGCAAUGCCGCGUGAGUGAUGAAGGCCUUAUAGUUGUAAAGCUCUUUUACCCGGGAUGAUAAUGACAGUACCAAGAGAAUAAGCUCCGGCUAACUCCGUG
rnacentral:rRNA from 1 species